AAAGACCCCGCCCACUAGCCGCGCGCACUUUUUUUCAAACCCAGCUGGAGCUGUCAUUGGUCAGUAUGCUGACAGGGCGGGGAUAUCGUGGCCGCGGCCCCGCCCUCCGUCCUGUCAUUGGGCGCUCAGGAUGCGAAUUCGAAUCAGGGCAGUUUGUGGUUCGCGCUUGUAGGUCGCUGGGACUGGGGGGCAGGAGCUCUCAGGGACACCGUCCGACCGGAACUUCUAAAUCGCCUUCCGCGGCAUUACCCAGCGCCGGCGGGUGCAGUGCGAGAAACUCCUGCAGCAGUUACCCAUGAGUCUCUCCUGCUCCGCUCCACCCUUCUCUGCUGGGCCCUUCCACAGAGGCGCCUCUGUUGCUCCUGGACCAUCACAUCCUUCCUGCACCGGCAGCUUCACCCCUACCAGACCCAUCUUCUGAUUCCGAGUAGUCUUGCGAACCGGACCCCACCUUUUCACCUGCAUGGUCCUACAGCCUGGACCCUUGGCUCCCAUCGUACCCUCCGGUGUAUGCUCUACCGGCUGACCCGUGGUUCCACUACCUGCAGGUGCCGCUGAUGCCUGGCGACCCCUAUGCCUGGCCCUACUGGGCUGCCUGGAACCCCUACCAUGAGCGCAGGAUGCCAUCUCGCUUGCAGCACUGCCUGUCCCCAACAUACAUAGCCCCUCCCCUCUGUCUUUGAGGAACCUCUGGCCAUCCCCGCUCCGGUGGCACCAACAGCAUCUUUGCCACCUCUGGUCCAUAUGGCUGCCUUCUCAUCUCCAGGCAAUGCCAUCAUUCUUCCCACCACCCUCCCUCGCCGACCGCUUGCAGUACCAGGACUUACUUCGACGCAUGGCCACAGCCCUCAAUCUACCUGUCGAAGACGUCCAAGACCCACAGGAUUAAUUCCUGGACAUCCUACAACCCCUUGUUGACUCAUGUACCACCCUUCGUAUCCACAAUGCCCUUCUACAACUGGCCCAGGCCAUUUGGCACACUCCGGCCUCCAGUGCCCCUACACCAAAGUGGAAUGCUGAUUCUUCAUGCCCCCUAAGGGCAUGGACUUUCUUUUCGCACACCCAUCCCCCAACUCACUGGUGGUCCAAGCCACGACCAAGCGUGCCUGCCAACAACACCUGCAGUCCACGUCCCCUGAUUGGGUCGCCAAGAAGUUGGAUCUCCUGGGCUUCAAGGUCUACUCCUCCUCUGGUCUCCAAUUCUGCAUUGCCAGCUACCAGGCCAUCCUGGCCAAGCAUGAUUUCCUUUCAUACUCCAAGCUCAUGGACUUCCAGGCCUUCCUCCUCCCAUAGAAACAAUAGGACUUCCAACAUCUCCUAGAUGAGGAAAAGUUGGUGGUCAAGGUGACUCUCCAGGCCAUAGUUGAUGCUGCCGAUAUGGCGUCCCACUCGCUGGCAUCCAGAGUUGUCCUUCGCCAGGAUUCCUGGCUCCAGUCUAGCGGCUUCUUGCAUGAGGUCCUGACUACCCCGAGGACCUCCCUUUUGACCACCACAAGUUGUUUAAUGACAAAACAGAUGACUCUUUGCAUACCCUCAAAGACUCUCGUGCCACACUUCGGUCACUGGUCCUUUAUACUCUGUCCCCUGCCUUUGCCAGCAACGAUGUCCACCAGGCGUUGGCCUUUUACCUCCAGCGCACUUGUGACUUCCGGGCCUCCCCUCAGCUCUUUUUUGCCAUUGCGGAGUGUUGCCGCAGCCACACCCUUUCAUCGCAACGACUCUCCAAAUAGAUUUCUCUUUGCAUCACGGGCUGCUACACAUUCUCCCGUACACACACACACAUCCCCCAGGAGUCAUGGCUCACUCCGCACGGGCACAUGCUGCUACAUCCUCACCAGCUUCGCUUUCUGUUCCAAAGCCUCAUCCUUGUCAGAGUCCUCACUGUGUUCUGCCACACGUCCGAGGAGAUCGUCUCUGAUAACCAAGCUGUGACAGAGUAGGGAGUAUUAACCUGAUAAUGUUGCAUGGGAGUUUUACUAGUUUACUGUCUGCAUUGAUACCAGAUGGUGAUGGGAAAUAAGGGUGUGACUUCACUAAGGGAUGAUACUUGACGAUUAGCACGUAAAGGAUGUCUGCUGCCUUUCAUAACCUGAGCCCAGGAGGGGGUUGGGGCCAGGUGACACCUUCUGCCUGGGAAACUGGACAAAGCCUGGAGGAGAAGCCGGGGUGUGUGGCUGGGGGAGACUGCUGGAGGGAGUUUCAGUUUGGAGCUGGCUGGGGAGACAUGGGGAGGCCCAGAACCUGGGUCUUGGCUCCCCAACCCCCAAGAUGGACCUGAGUGAGAGGUCCUGUUUUUAGUACCUACAAGCUCUGUUUUAAACUGUGUUCCUGUCAUCUAAUAAAUCUGUUUUACUGGCUGGCUGAGAGUCACAGUGAAUCGCAGGAUGUGGGGGAUACAUGGCCCUGACUUCCCCGCACUCCAUGACAACUACUCCCUACUCAGUCACAUCUCUCCCCCCUUCAAGACUGAACUGAGUGGGGUCACUCUAACCAGUGACCUGGGGAAGUUCGGGGCCCCCUCACCAGGACAAUGCAUCAGCUACCACAUUGGCACUCCCCUCACAUGGACCACCUUCAUAUCAUAAUCCUCCAGGAGCAGGCUCCACCUCAGGAAGUUGGCAUUGAUGGUGAUGGCAUUAAGCUUCCGAUAGUCCACACAGAACCAGAUCGACGUGUCCAUUUUGGGGACCAGCACCAGAAGUGAGGCCCAAGGGCUGGAAGAUGGCUGAAUCACCCCCAAAGGCAGCAUGUCACUGACCUCUCUUUCCAGGUCUUGAGCAGUUUUCCCUGUGACUCGGAAGGGGGAGCAUCUUAUAGGAGGAUGUGAUCCUGUCUCCAACCGGUGGACAGUGAGAUUAGUGAAUCCAGGCUGGUUGGAAAGCAGCUGUUGGUACAAAUGCAGAACCCCUCUGAUCUCAGCUUGCUGGGCAGGUGUUAGCUGAUCAGAGAGGGGAAUUGGUUCCAGGGAGGAGCCAGCUCCUGUCUCAGGGAAUAGAUCUACUAAAGGGUCAUCUCCCUGCUCCUCCCAAUGUCUACACACAGCCAACACCACAUUUCCCCCUGUCAUAAUAUGGCUUCAUCAUAUUAACAUGGUACACCCGGUGGCAGUGUGACCAGUUAGUUCCACCACAUAGUUUACCUCAUUUAGUUGCUUGACAACCUUGAAAGGGCCUUCCCAGGUGGCUUGUAGUUUGUUUUUUCUCACGAUCCCAGUGGCAUAGGCUAUAAACAGGGUGCCUUGUCAUGAAACUUUGGGUUCGUCCUGCCAAGACUUUCCCGGAGCAAUGUGUUGUGACCAACAAAACCUGGUUCCUACCUACCCACAAUCAACCUAGCUGGCCACUAAAUUGAUAUGGACUCUGGACUGGUAACUAUAACAUUGACUGGUGGGACAGUGUGUGGUGUGAUUGAAUACUUAUGCUAAUUAUUGUAUCUUCAAUAAACACGGUGUAUUGCCUUUUCCCCUGAAAAAGAUCCCAUGUACACCUUUACCCCAAUAUAACGCUGUCCUCGGGAGCCAAAAAAUCUUACUGCGUUAUAGGUGA